rnacentral:rRNA from 1 species
ACGGGGGGAGCAAGCGUUGUUCGGAUUUACUGGGCGUAAAGGGCGCGUAGGCGGCCACCGCAAGUCAAUUGUGAAAUCUCCGGGCUUAACUCGGAAAGGUCAACUGAUACUGCGGGGCUAGAGUGCAGAAGGGGCAACUGGAAUUCUCGGUGUAGCGGUGAAAUGCGUAGAGAUCGGGAGGAACACCAGUGGCGAAGGCGGCCUUCUGGACCAGUACUGACGCUCAUGCACGAAAGCGUGGGGAGCAAACAGGA